rnacentral:rRNA from 1 species
GACGAACCGUGCGAACGUUAUUCGGAAUCACUGGGCUUAAAGCGCGUGUAGGCGGGCGGGGACGUCGGCCACUGCAAGCCCCCGGCUCAACCGGGGAAGGGGUGCCGAAACGGCCGGCCUGGAGGGGCGUAGGGGGACCUGGAACUUCCGGUGGAGCGGUGAAAUGCGUUGAGAUCGGAAGGAACGCCCGUGGCGAAAGCGAGGUCCUGGACGCCAACUGACGCUGAGACGCGAAAGCCAGGGGAGCGAACGGG